CAGCUACGUAUGGGUAGGAAGGACGCGCCCCUUCGGAGCUCCGUGCCGACGGCGACGCUAAACUAGGAGGGUCGAAGUCGUCAGCGCAUUCGACUUGUGUGGACGGCAAGGAAACCAAAAGACCAAGAUGCCUUGACGGGCCGGCCCUGGGCAUAGGCGACAUAGGCGGUCGCCUAGGGCGCCAUCUGCUGGAGGGGCGCACUGCCAGCACCCUCCUCCUCGGGAAAAAUAUUUCAUCCAUCCAUUAAUCUCCAAACUAGGGUCGCGGGCGUGCUGGAAACCGGAGUGCCCGGAGAAAAGCCACGCAGGCACGGGGAGAACAUGCAAACUCCACGCAGGCGGGUCCUCAGAACUGUGAAAAGUGUCCGGCGGAAAUUUCAACGAGUUAGUAAUUACACUAAAUGUUGGUCUGAAUCAAAUCAAAUAAGGUUUCUCUGUAGUGCCCACUGCAUACGCGUUAACGCAAUGAUGUUACGGAGUGGAUGUUUGAAUGCUGCUACAAGUCAGAGUGAGCCUCAGACAUCUUGGAGCAGCACCACAUUAAACACAGCACCCGCUUGCUGCCCCCUGUGAAACUGGUGAGUUCUGUCAUUGUAUCCUACAGCUGCAGUAGGAUACUGCUAUGUCAACAGGACCAAGUGGAGACACAGUUUCUGUCUCAAUGUUGACAUCACAUAUGAAUAUGUACAAACCAUCCAGCCCUUUACUUCUGGAAUGUUUUAGUCAAUUUACCAACAUUAUGUUAUCAAAUGUUUCCUACAGUCUUGUAUCGUAUGGUAACAGUUGCACAAGAAAAUAUAUCCGAUGAUAAUACCGUAUACAAGGGAAUAGAGCUGAAAUACGAUUCAGAUUAGAUUGCAUAUUCAAGUUGUCCACAGGACACAUUAAAGGUGGAAUCAUUAUUUUCCCCAUCAAAAUGACACAUAAUUAAAUCAAACUGGAUUCUUAAUCUGUUCCACUUGUCACAGAACAAUAUUACUGUUAUUAUUGUUGUUUUGUUUUGUGCUUCAGAAGUGUUUACUGCCUGAUGUGUUGUAGUUUGUAAAUCAUUGUGAGCAUUUGCAUAGAUUUCAUUUGCUUGCAGGUGAAUAGACAGAGACAUAUAUUCGAUUUGGAUGAUCGGUAUACUGCUCGCUCUCUGUUGGGGUUCAGGCCAAUUGAUUGUGACCCCCGAGAACUCGGAAAACAUGUCAAAAUGACCUCAACUGUCCAGAACACACAAGGAAAAACGGGCAAUGGGAGAAAGAGGUGAAGUUGUUGGUACUUUUGGUUUGUCCUAUUAGGUGAAGUUAAUCGCAUUAUUUGUUCGGUAGCGAGGGUCAGUCAUGAAAUGAAGAUUUUCUAUUUUACAUUUUAAAUUGUCUUAUCAAUCAAAGGCAAUGGUAAAAAUGAUGCAAUGCGUGUAUGUCAACCUGUCUUGAAACCCUACUUUGAUAUCCUAACCUCCCCCAUGUGGCAUGACCCCAGCUGAAAGCUAUACCACGACAAUUCUGUUUAAUAAAGCUAAUUCAAGGUGGAAUUUAAAUAGUUUCCAGAAAGACUCAAUUUGAUUUACCUAUGUUUCAACACCUGCUUUAGUAAGUCAUGAAUUCAACGUAUUUUUGUCUUACCGAGUGCUUUUCCUCCUCAUUCAUCACGAUAAUCGAGUUGAAGGAUAGCAGAUCGGCGCCGGUCUCGACGGAAAAUCCAGAGUCCAAACUGUCCGAGACGCCAGCGAGCCCUUCAAAAUGUUGUCUCCGGUGUUACUGUGUCACUACAAAGAAAUAUCUCAACAAUGCCUUCUCGUGAUCAUCAAAAUCGGGAUUUUUUUAAGCUAAAGAUGAGAUGGUGUAUAUUGUGGUGAAAUGCUCCGCUCAUCAUUUUUCCCCUUCCCCUUUUGAAAAUAAAACUUUCAUCCUCAAAUAG